GGUGGGGAUGACGUCAAAGUCCUCAUGGCCUUUAUGACCAGGGCUACACACGUACUACAAUGGCCGGUACAAAGGGCAGCGACACAGCGAUGUGAAGCGAAUCCCGAAAAGCCGGUCUCAGUCCGGAUUGGAGUCUGCAACUCGACUCCAUGAAGUUGGAAUCGCUAGUAAUCGCGGAUCAGCACGCCGCGGUGAAUACGUUCCCGGGCCUU
rnacentral:rRNA from 1 species